GGUUGAAGACUCUAGCUCUUGCACUGUAUUACCAAUGACAAUGUCCGCUUUCUGUGCAUCUUCAAUACACUUGAACACGUAUUUAGUCUCGUUUGGAUCAGCAUCUUGACAAUAUGAAGGUAAAUCCUCUGGUUUAAUGGCUUGAAUUCCUGGUAUGUAGCUAAUGGUGUCAUCGUACUUAUCUGGACAAAAAUGAUAACUCAUUAGCUAAUUGGUUAUGUAUAAUGUAGUCAGAAAUUAGACUGUAAUAGUUUCUAGAUAAAAGGUUCAUACCAUGUCGCCCAAAGUGGCCAUUUCUCUUGAGCAGGUCGGUGUUAUAGAAGACUGUAAGCACUGUUGCUGGUUCAGUCCAAAAUGAGACAUUGACGAGAUUAUAUUUCCUUGCAAUCGUUGAU
rnacentral:lncRNA from 1 species